GACAGAGGUGCCGAGCGUUAGGCGGAAUCACUGGGCUUAAAGCGUGUGUAGGCGGAUCGUUAAGUACCUUGUGAAAUCCCACAGCUUAACUGUGGAACUGCUUGGUAUACUGCCAGUCUUGAGCCACUUAGGGGCUACCGGAACAAAUGGUGGAGCGGUGAAAUGCGUAGAUAUCAUUUGGAACGCCAAUGGUGAAAACAGGUAGCUGGGAGUGUGCUGACGCUGAGACACGAAAGCCAGGGGAGCAAACGGG
rnacentral:rRNA from 1 species